rnacentral:tRNA from 1 species
UGGGCUGUAGCUCAGUGGUAGAGUACUUGCCUAGCAUGCACAAGGCUCUGAGUUCAAUCCUCAGUACCACAA